GGGCGAAGGGACUGAUGUGAAGAGUGCACUUCACCCAGCACGCAUCCUUCCCAACGGCCCCUUCGCGCUUCGCCUGCCUACCUGAAUACUUCAUGUAUUAUAAUUAUUUAAAGCGCCUGGGUACGGGGCAGAUAGAAGGCCCUAAUAAAAAUGAAGCCAAAAGUACGUUUGUUUUGAGACCGGCCGCCAUGUUGAAUGGCCCCACUUGAGGAGUGAAAGACUAUAGAUUUCUAUUGUAAAACUGACAUUUUUCGCAGAAAUUUCGCCUUAUACUCCCUAAGUAUGCGAAGAAAUCAAGUCAAAUCUGGCAUUUCAAGAACAAGCACACAUCAUAGAAGAAUGAAGAACAUUUGAAUGUUGAAAGAAACUAAAUCCCAGGUAAAUAAUUUGAUAUUUUCACCCACUGGUUUUGACCGUCGAAAGAUCAGAGCCGACCGAACGUCAGAACACAGCACUAUACUCUGCAGAUUACAAAGUAAUUAUGAUUUUUCUGUAUAAAAUAGUCACUUACUACAGUACUAAAACAAUUACUUACGUUUUUGAGUGACUAUAGGUAGGUUUAAUAAGCGGCAUAACGCGAUAGUGUGCAGUGUAUUUGUAGGCCUAAUUGACAUUUUAUGCAGAUUAUGCUUGGGCUGGCAAAUUUGUUUUAAAUAAUAGAUCAAAUGGCCAGGGUGCAUUUCAUGUAAACUACGCCGGAGAUACGCCAACAUAUACGAUAGUUCACACCAAUACAUUGGAGAUUUUAACUUUGGGGACCAAAUUCCAUGUUAAAAUGGCUAAUCUGGCAUAUUUUAUACACUGUUAACAUCAUAUUCUUGAAGUUAUACUCAGUGAAUAUACAUACUGUAUGACAACCAAUUCAGGCACAAACUUACUGUAGUUACACUUAUCACUUCUUUUUGAGUGAUCUCACGCAAUACACCAACAAUGUUGUAACCUCACGCCGGAUAUAUCUGGCGUGGAGUGAAUGGAAUGAACUCUGGCUAAUGUAUUUCGGUUUGGAGGUUUAAUGCAGUGUGGCUAAGUUCUAGAAUGAAACCAAAUAAACAGAAAGCCAUGUCAUUGAUAUUAUUUGAUGUAGUGUACUGUAUAUUUGUUUCACUGAAUUGGAAAUGAAAUGUGUACAAUGUACAUAGUGUGGACAAAGUAGUUGGUUUGAAAAUAGUCACUAUAAUUUUUGUAUAUUGUAUUUCAGUUGUACUGAAGACUGUACAAAUUCAACACAAGAUUGUAAAUGCUAUGAAGCUUUGCCCAUCAGUCAUCAAGAGUACAACAGUUAAUAUGCACCUGUAGUCGUUGUAGUAGUUUAUAUAUAUUACAUUAAAGAUUUUUAUCAACUCGUGUUGUUGUCAAUACCAUCUGC